rnacentral:rRNA from 1 species
AUUGAACGCUGGCGGCAGGUCUAACACAUGCAAGUCGAACGAGUGGCGGACGGGUGAGUCAUGUCUGGGAAACUGCCUGAUGGAGGGGGAUAACUACUGGACACGGUAGCUAAUACCGCAUCCCAUCAGAUGUGCCCAGAUGUGGUUAGCUAGUUGGUGGGGUAACGGCUCACCAAGGCGACGAUCCCUAGCUGGUCUGAGAGGAUGACCAGCAACACUGGAACGGGGACACGGUCCAAAGUCCUACGGGAGACAGCAGUGGGGAAUAUGGCACAAUGGGGGCAAGCCUGAUGCAGCCAUGCCGCGUGUAUGAAGAAGGCCUUCGGGUUGUAAAGUACUUUCAGCGGGGAGGCGUUACCCGCAGAAGAAGCACCGGCUAACUCCGUGCCAGCAGCCGCGGUAGUAC